rnacentral:rRNA from 1 species
AUUUGAAAGCUGGCCUUCGGGUCCGCAUUGUAAUUUGUAGAGGAUGCUUUGGGGCAGCCGCCUGUCUAAGUUCCUUGGAACAGGACGUCAUAGAGGGUGAGAAUCCCGUAUGUGACAGGACAUGGCACCCUAUGUAAAGCUCCUUCGACGAGUCGAGUUGUUUGGGAAUGCAGCUCUAAAUGGGAGGUAAAUUUCUUCUAAAGCUAAAUACCGGCGAGAGACCGAUAGCGCACAAGUAGAGUGAUCGAAAGAUGAAAAGCACUUUGGAAAGAGAGUUAAAAAGCACGUGAAAUUGUUGAAAGGGAAGCGCUUGCAAUCAGACUUGUUUUGACUGUUCGGCCGGUCUUCUGACCGGUUUACUCAGUCUGGACAGGCCAGCAUCAGUUUUGGCGGCCGGAUAAAGGCUCAGGGAAUGUGGCUCUCACUUCGGUGGGAGUGUUAUAGCCCUGGGUGUAAUACGGCCAGCCGGGACUGAGGUCCGCGCUUCGGCUAGGAUGCUGGCGUAAUGGUUGUAAGCGA